rnacentral:tRNA from 1 species
GGGUGUGGCUCAGUGGUAGAGUGCUUACCAGGCGUGCAAGUAUGAGGUCCUGGGUCCAAUUCCCAGCACUGUCA